rnacentral:rRNA from 1 species
CCUACGGGUGGCUGCAGUGGGGAAUCUUCCGCAAUGGGCGAAAGCCUGACGGAGCAACGCCGCGUGAUCGAAUGAAGGCCUUCGGGUUGUAAAGAUCUGUUGACAGGGACGAAUAAGAGAUUCAAAUAGUUUUGUGUAUGACGGUGCCUGUUUAGAAAGCUCCGGCUAACUACGUGCCAGCAGCCGCGGUCAUACGUAGGGAGCAAGCGUUGUCCGGAAUUACUGGGCGGAAAGGGCGGGUGGGUGGGCGCUUAAGUGAGGUGUGAAAACUCCGGGCUCAACCUGGAGACUGCACUUGAAACUGGGUGUCUUGAGGGCAGGAGAGGAAAGUGGAAUGCCUAGUGUAGCGGUGAAAUGCGUAGAUAUUAGGAGGAACACCAGUGGCGAAGGCGACUUUCUGGACUGUACCUGACGCUGAGGCGCGAAAGCGUGGGUAGCGAACGGGAUUAGAUACCCGUGUAGUC